rnacentral:rRNA from 1 species
UUUAUGGAGAGUUUGAUCCUGGCUCAGGAUGAACGCUGGCGGCGUGCCUAAUACAUGCAAGUCGAGCGAACGGACGAGGAGCUUGCUUCUCUGAUGUUAGCGGCGGACGGGUGAGUAACACGUGGAUAACCUACCUAUAAGACUGGGAUAACUUCGGGAAACCGGAGCUAAUACCGGAUAAUAUUUUGAACCGCAUGGUUCAAAAGUGAAAGACGGUCUUGCUGUCACUUAUAGAUGGAUCCGCGCUGCAUUAGCUAGUUGGUAAGGUAACGGCUUACCAAGGCAACGAUGCAUAGCCGACCUGAGAGGGUGAUCGGCCACACUGGAACUGAGACACGGUCCAGACUCCUACGGGAGGCAGCAGUAGGGAAUCUUCCGCAAUGGGCGAAAGCCUGACGGAGCAACGCCGCGUGAGUGAUGAAGGUCUUCGGAUCGUAAAACUCUGUUAUUAGGGAAGAACAUAUGUGUAAGUAACUGUGCACAUCUUGACGGUACCUAAUCAGAAAGCCACGGCUAACUACGUGCCAGCAGCCGCGGUAAUACGUAGGUGGCAAGCGUUAUCCGGAAUUAUUGGGCGUAAAGCGCGCGUAGGCGGUUUUUUAAGUCUGAUGUGAAAGCCCACGGCUCAACCGUGGAGGGUCAUUGGAAACUGGAAAACUUGAGUGCAGAAGAGGAAAGUGGAAUUCCAUGUGUAGCGGUGAAAUGCGCAGAGAUAUGGAGGAACACCAGUGGCGAAGGCGACUUUCUGGUCUGUAACUGACGCUGAUGUGCGAAAGCGUGGGGAUCAAACAGGAUUAGAUACCCUGGUAGUCCACGCCGUAAACGAUGAGUGCUAAGUGUUAGGGGGUUUCCGCCCCUUAGUGCUGCAGCUAACGCAUUAAGCACUCCGCCUGGGGAGUACGACCGCAAGGUUGAAACUCAAAGGAAUUGACGGGGACCCGCACAAGCGGUGGAGCAUGUGGUUUAAUUCGAAGCAACGCGAAGAACCUUACCAAAUCUUGACAUCCUUUGACAACUCUAGAGAUAGAGCCUUCCCCUUCGGGGGACAAAGUGACAGGUGGUGCAUGGUUGUCGUCAGCUCGUGUCGUGAGAUGUUGGGUUAAGUCCCGCAACGAGCGCAACCCUUAAGCUUAGUUGCCAUCAUUAAGUUGGGCACUCUAAGUUGACUGCCGGUGACAAACCGGAGGAAGGUGGGGAUGACGUCAAAUCAUCAUGCCCCUUAUGAUUUGGGCUACACACGUGCUACAAUGGACAAUACAAAGGGCAGCGAAACCGCGAGGUCAAGCAAAUCCCAUAAAGUUGUUCUCAGUUCGGAUUGUAGUCUGCAACUCGACUACAUGAAGCUGGAAUCGCUAGUAAUCGUAGAUCAGCAUGCUACGGUGAAUACGUUCCCGGGUCUUGUACACACCGCCCGUCACACCACGAGAGUUUGUAACACCCGAAGCCGGUGGAGUAACCUUUUAGGAGCUAGCCGUCGAAGGUGGGACAAAUGAUUGGGGUGAAGUCGUAACAAGGUAGCCGUAUCGGAAGGUGCGGCUGGAUCACCUCCUUUCU